rnacentral:rRNA from 1 species
GCUCAGAACGAACGCUGGCGGCGUGGUUAAACAUGCAAGUCGCACGCGAACGUCAAUGCUAGCUUGCUAGCAGAGACCAGUAGAGUGGCGAAAGGGCGAGGAAGACAUGGGCCACGUACCUUGAGCACGAGGAUAGCCCGGGGAAACCCGGGGUAAUACUCGAUGAGACCACAGUCCCUUAAGGGACAGCGGUCAAAGUGGCGGGGAUCCUUCGGGACCUGUCGGCUUGAGAGCGGCCCAUGCCCUAUCAGCUUGUUGGUGAGGUAACGUGCUCACCAAGGCGACGACGGGUACCGGGACUGAGAGGUUGGCCCGGCGCAUUGGGACUGAGACACUGCCCAGACUCCUACGGUGAGGCUGCAGUAACGAAUAUUCCGCGAUGGGCGAAAGCCUGACGGAGCGACGCCGCGUGUGGGAAGAAGCCCUUCGGGGUGUAAACCACCGUCGAGGACCGCCAAGCCCAUGGAGGCGAACGGUCUCCGGCGCUUGGGGAGUCCUCAAGGAUGCCACGGCUAGGUUCGUGCCCUGCGCCUCGCGUCGACUAAGGUGGCAUGCGUCGUCCGGAGUCUCUGGGCUUAAAGAGCACGUAGGCGGCUCGUCAAGUGUCUUGUGAAUCCCUCGGCUCAACCGAGGAAUUGCAGGGCAAACUGGCGGGCUUGAGGCAGGUAGGGGCGCGUGGAACUCUUGGUGGAGCGGUGGAAUGCGUAGAUAUCAAGAGGAACGCCGGAGGCGAAAGCGAUGCGCUGGGCCUGUCCUGACGCUGAGGUGCGAAAGCCAGGGGAGCAAACGGGAUUAGAUACCCCGGUAGUCCUGGCCAUAAACGAUGUCCACUAGGCUGAACACAUUCUGACAUGGGUUCGGCCGGAACAAAAGCGUUAAGUGGACCGCCUGGGGACUACGGUCGCAAGGCUAAAACUCAAAGGAAUUGACGGGGGCUCACACAAGCGGUGGAGCAUGUUGCUUAAUUCGAUGCAACGCGAAGAACCUUAUCCUGGGCUUGACAUGCUUGGAUGCCUACCUGGAAACAGGGUCGGCUGCCCUUCGGGGUGAAACUUGCACAGGUGCUGCAUGGCUGUCGUCAGCUCGUGUCGUGAGAUGUUGGGUUAAGUCCCAUAACGAGCGAAACCCUUGUCGCUAGUUGCCAGCGGGUCAUGCCGGGGACUCUAGCGAGACUGCCGGUGUUAAACCGGAGGAAGGUGGGGAUGACGUCAAGUCCUCAUGGCCUUUAUGCCCAGGGCUGCAAACGUGCUACAAUGACCGGGACAGACCGACGCAAAGCCGCGAGGUCGAGCAAAUCGUAAAAACCCGGCCCCAGUUCGGAUUGGAGUCUGCAACUCGACUCCAUGAAGUUGGAAUCGCUAGUAAUCGCGUAUCAGCCAUGACGCGGUGAAUGUGUUCCUGAGCCUUGUACACACCGCCCGUCAAGUCAUGGAAGCCGGGAGCGCCCGAAGUCGG